GUCAGCUCGUAAUGCGGACGUGAAUGCUCUGCGAUUAGCCGUGAUUAACCGCGUUUAACCGCGAUUUACUCCUUCAAAGUGCGUAAUAAGUGCGAGUUCUUGUCGAGAGUGUCGAUUAAAGUGACGGGCGAUUGUUGGAAUGUAUCACAUAUCGCGUACGUGAUCGUGACUACCGGUGUUUUAUCAACCGCUUUGACGCGGGAAAGCGAAUUCAAAUUGCUGUGGUUCAGUAAGUACAAAUUUUCAUGCAAUAGGCACGCGAAAAUGACCACUAUGUCAAUAUGCUUAAAACAAUCAAAGCGCCAUGUUGAUUAGUUGCACAUAUUGAAAAAUCAGUUUGUCGGAGUUAUAUCGGGUAAAAUAUUGUCGCGUACGUGUCCGUAUCUGUUGAUUUCUGUUCGAUUGCCGUAAUAGUCUCGCUCUGAAUGUGCGUAAUGUCGACCGCUACAUGUUGUGAUAUUCUGUGCUACAAAUAUGUGCGUGGACGCGACACGGUACGAAGUGAGUUUUAUUGUAUCUCGCGUUUGCGUUUCGUAUACCACAAUUUACGAUGUGAUUUUUGACGUUGUUUUUCGAAAGUGAAGUGCGCGAGUGUAACAAAGUGCGAGUGGAUUUCCAGGAAGCAUUCAUCCAUUCUUUGUUAGUGCUGAUGCAAUGGAAAUACCAGAAUCUGCAGUGGAUGGAGCAGACUGCAAUACCCUAACUGCCGGAGGGCGUACUUAGCUAGGGUACAACACUGGAUAUACCUAUCUCGGAUCUUCGCUCGUUGUGGAGCCGUCCGUAGCCAGUGCAGCCAAAAAACGG